AGAGUUUGAUCAUGGCUCAGAACGAACGCUGGCGGCAGGCUUAACACAUGCAAGUCGAACGCCCCGCAAGGGGAGUGGCAGACGGGUGAGUAACGCGUGGGAAUCUACCUAGUUCUACGGAACAACAGAGGGAAACUUGAGCUAAUACCGGAUAUGCCCUUCGGGGGAAAGAUUUAUCGCCAUAGGAUGGGCCCGCGUCGGAUUAGCUAGUUGGUGGGGUAAUGGCCUACCAAGGCAACGAUCCGUAGCUGGUCUGAGAGGAUGAUCAGCCACACUGGGACUGAGACACGGCCCAGACUCCUACGGGAGGCAGCAGUGGGGAAUAUUGGACAAUGGGCGAAAGCCUGAUCCAGCCAUGCCGCGUGAGUGAAGAAGGCCUUAGGGUUGUAAAGCUCUUUCAGCGGGGAAGAUAAUGACGGUACCCGCAGAAGAAGCCCCGGCUAACUUCGUGCCAGCAGCCGCGGUAAUACGAAGGGGGCUAGCGUUGUUCGGAAUUACUGGGCGUAAAGCGCGCGUAGGCGGAUAAGUAAGUCAGGGGUGAAAUGCCGAGGCUCAACCUCGGAACUGCCUUUGAUACUGCUAAUCUGGAGUACGGGAGAGGUGAGUGGAAUUCCGAGUGUAGAGGUGAAAUUCGUAGAUAUUCGGAGGAACACCAGAAGCGAAGGCGGCUCACUGGCCCGAUACUGACGCUGAGGCGCGAAAGCGUGGGGAGCAAACAGGAUUAGAUACCCUAGUAGUCC
rnacentral:rRNA from 1 species